GACAGAGGUCCCAAGCGUUAGGCGGAAUCACUGGGCUUAAAGCGUGUGUAGGCGGAUGCCUAAGUACCUUGUGAAAUCCCACGGCUCACCCGUGGAACUGCUUGGUAUACUGGGUGUCUUGAGCCACUUAGGGGCUACCGGAACAAAUGGUGGAGCGGUGAAAUGCGCAGAUAUCAGGUAGAACACCCGUGGCGAAGGCGGUUCUCUGGGACGGUACUGACGCUGAGACGCGAAAGCGUGGGGAGCGAACAGG
rnacentral:rRNA from 1 species